rnacentral:rRNA from 1 species
CAUGCCGCGUGUGUGAAGAAGGCCUUCGGGUUGUAAAGCACUUUCAGUAAGGAGGAAAGGGUAGUCUUUAAUACGAGGCUAUCUGUGACGUUACUUACAGAAGAAGCACCGGCUAACUCCGUGCCAGCAGCCGCGGUAAUACGGAGGGUGCGAGCGUUAAUCGGAAUUACUGGGCGUAAAGCGUACGCAGGCGGUUUGUUAAGCGAGAUGUGAAAGCCCCGGGCUCAACCUGGGAACUGCAUUUCGAACUGGCAAACUAGAGUGUGAUAGAGGGUGGUAGAAUUUCAGGUGUAGCGGUGAAAUGCGUAGAGAUCUGAAGGAAUACCGAUGGCGAAGGCAGCCACCUGGGUCAACACUGACGCUCAUGUACGAAAGCGUGGGGAGCAAACAGGAUUAGAUACCCUGGUAGUCCACGCCGUAAACGAUGUCUACUAGAAGCUCGGAGCCUCGGUUCUGUUUUUCAAAGCUAACGCAUUAAGUAGACCGCCUGGGGAGUACGGCCGCAAGGUUAAAACUCAAAUGAAUUGACGGGGGCCCGCACAAGCGGUGGAGCAUGUGGUUUAAUUCGAUGCAACGCGAAGAACCUUACCUACACUUGACAUACAGAGAACUUACCAGAGAUGGUUUGG